UGAGGAAAUAUGUGAAGUUCACGUGGGGUUCUAGCAAAUUGGAUGAUAAAUACACUAGUACCAAAAAGGGUUCAUGUUGUGGAUGUAUGACGAUUGAGAGUUCUCAUGGAGAUGGAUCUUCAUUAAAAAUUAAGCAACCUAUCAACAUUGAAACUAUCAGUUUUAACAGAAGAGGCCACUUACACAUUGACACGAAUGCCAUUCCUGAAAGCACCCAGACACAGAGAGUCAAUUCAUGUUUGGCAGGUGAUAAAGGAGAUCUUGAAAGGAAGUUUGCAUAUUCAGAGGGUAUACAAUCAGGCCUUUGAACAGGCAAGAUGGCAUCUUUAUCCAUCUGGGUUUUCCUUCGCUUGAACAGAAGAGGGUAAGGAGGGAGGAGAAGAAGAAGAAGAAGAAGAAGAAGAAAGUAAGAAAGGACGUAGCAGAGGAACGACCAGAAUCGUAGGCAGCCUCCGAGCAGAAGAGACGAUGCAGCAGAGGGAGAGGGCGCUUUCUUUUGUGCGACCAGAAGAGGGAAAGAGGGAGAAGAAGAAGAAUAAAUUUAAGUUUUUUUACUAUUUUGGUCGAUCCGGCCCGGUCGAUUUUUCAAACCAAAAUUUAGACCGUUUUCUUCGGUCUUGUAUUAUCUACCAUACACGUGGCCAACACCAAGUGUCAAAAUCGUAACCAGCCUCUGCCAGGCUCCGCCAGUAAAUGACACAGCAGAGGAGCUCGAUCCCUGUUAUGGAUUAGAUGCUCAACUUUAAUGAGCAUGUGCUCAUACGUCCUAAAAUCGAGGGUAAAAACUUCAUUUCAUUUUCUGUCAUAAGAAAAGCGAGCAUAAACCCAUCUCUGCUCCAUCCCUACCCGC